rnacentral:rRNA from 1 species
UACGGAGGGUGCAAGCGUUAUUCGGAAUCAUUGGGCGUAAAGGGCGUGUAGGCGGCUUGACAAGUCAGAUGUGAAAGCCCGAGGCUCAACCUCGGAAGUGCAUUUGAAACUGUCAGGCUUGAGUGCGGGAGAGGAAAGCGGAAUUCCCAGUGUAGAGGUGAAAUUCGUAGAUAUUGGGAGGAACACCGGUGGCGUAGGCGGCUUUCUGGACCGACACUGACGCUGAGGCGCGAAAGCGUGGGGAGCAAACAGGAUUAGAUACCCUGGUAGUCCACGCGGUAAACGAUGGGCACUAGGUGUAGGAGGUUUUUAACCCUCCUGUGCCGCAGCUAACGCAUUAAGUGCCCCGCCUGGGGAGUACGGCCGCAAGGUUA